GGUGUUGUAAGUGAAAUAUAUGGUUAAGAGUAGAGGUCCUUUCUUCCUUCCAAUCCUGUCACUUGGAGUUUAUAUAUUUUUUGAAAAGAAAUUUAGCAUACCUUUAUCCUCAUAGGUUCUCUCAGGUCACUCAUUAUCUUUUGUAUAUCUCACUGAGGCUGUCUUAAUUUGCAAAAAUUCUCAAGCAUACUUACUUUGCAUUUAUUGCCUGAUCAAAACAGGAUCCGAGGAGAGGAAUGCCAUACUCUUAGAUCAAAGACUUUGGAAAUUAAAAACUUGUCAACUCUUACUGGCAAAUUGCUUAUUAGAGGGACCAUGGGCUAUCAUUUUCUUUUUCUUCUUCUCUCUUCUCUCUCUUUUUUUUUAAGUGGAUACCGAGGUACCCCUAAUUCUACUGCUGGACACUUGUCCAUUUUUCUGCGAGGUUAUCGAGCACUUGCUCCUUUUUAUUUCCUCGAAAUAUCGUUAUUUUUACAUAGCCCAAGCCUCUAAUGCAAUAAUACUUCGGAAAAGUGAAUCUUUCUGAAUAAAUGUCUUGAUCUUAGGAGCAUGAUAAAUCUCUCAACAAGGGUCUAACUCAUUUUGAACAAACUCAAUACAGAGUAGAUAGCUGUUAUAAUUAUCUUAAUUAAUAUUUUCAGGUUUAGUAGGCAUAUAAAACACUGAGGAUGGUAGCUAGAAUUUUUGAAUAAAUUCUUCAAGCAACAAUGAUAUCAAGAAUAAGAUACUCAUACUCUACCAUCUCAC
rnacentral:lncRNA from 1 species